rnacentral:rRNA from 1 species
UACGUAGGAUGCAAGCGUUGUCCGGAUUUACUGGGCGUAAAGAGCUCGUAGGCGGGGACGCGCGUCUCGGAGUAAAUUUCAGGGCUCAACCCUGAAGCUUUCCGGGAUACGGCGUCUCUUGAGGGCAGAAGAGGAGAGUGGAAUUCCACGUGUAGCGGUGAAAUGCGUAGAUAUGUGGAGGAACACCAGUGGCGAAGGCGACUCUCUGGUCUGUAACUGACGCUGAGGAGCGAAAGCGUGGGGAGCAAACAGG